ensembl:lncRNA
UGAGUAGUUUGUCUUAAGGACAGAUCCCGGUUGUCCCUGUUACAGGUCCUGUUUGUCUUAAGGACAGAUCCUGUUUGUCCCUGUUACAGGUCCUGUUUGUCCCUGUUACAGGUCCUGUUUGUCUUAAGGACAGAUCCUGUUGUCCCUGUUACAGGUCCUGUUGUCCCUGUUACAGGUCCUGUUUGUCUUAAGGACAGAUCCUGUUUGUCCCUGUUACAGGUCCUGUUUGUCCUGUUUGUCCCUGUUACAGGUCCUGUUUGUCUUAAGGACAGAUCCUGUUGUCCCUGUUACAGGUCCAGUUUGUCUUAAGGACAGAUCUUGUUGUCCCUGUUACAGGUCCUGUUUGUCUUAAGGACAGAUCCUGUUUGUCCCUGUUACAGAUCCUGUUUGUCCUGUUUGUCCCUGUUACAGGUCCAGUUUGUCCCUGUUACAUUCGCAACCUGGAACCCAUUUCCAUCAUGGCCACCUAAUCAUCCCCCUCA